GGACCCUUGGCGCAGCGGUAGCGCGUGAGAUUCCAGAUCCUCAAGGUCAUCCGUUCAAAUCGGGUAGGGUUCA
rnacentral:tRNA from 1 species